AGAGUUUGAUCAUGGCUCAGAUUGAACGCUGACAACAUAACUAAAGCAUGCAAGUCGAACGCGAAACUGACUUCAGCCAGGAGUAGAGUGGCGAACGGGCAAAUAAUGCGUUUCUAACGUGCCCCGAGGUCAGGGAUAGCCCAGGGAAACUUGGAUUAAUACCUGAUGAUCCCACUAGGCCGCAUAACCCUGUGGACAAAGUUACGGCGCCUUGGGAUCGGGAAACGUCCUAUCAUGCUUGUUGGUGAGGUAACGGCUCACCAAGGCUAAGACGGGUAGCGGGUGUGAGAGCAUGACCCGCCGCAUCGGGACUAAAACACUGCCCGGACUCCUACGGGAGGCUGCAGCAACGAAUAUUCCCCAAUGAGCGCAAGCUUGAGGGAGCAAUGCCGCAUAAAGGAUGAAGCUCCUCGGAGUGUAAACUUCUGUCAGGGACCAGAAAGAUAUGAUCGGUCCCAGAGGAAGGGCCGGCUAACUUCGUGCCAGCAGCCGCGGUAAUACGAAGGGCCCGAGCGUUAAUCGGAAUCACUGAACUUAAAGGAUGCGCAGGCAAACCUGUAAGUGUCUUGUGAAAUCCCAUGGCUCAACCAUGGAAUUGCUUGGCAAACUACAGGUCUUGAGCCCGACAGAGGUCGUCGGAACGCUAGGUGGAGCGGUGAAAUGCGUAGAUAUCUAGCGGAACGCCAAAGGUGAAGACAGGCGACUAAGUCGGCGCUGACGCUCAGGCACGAAAGCGUGGGUAGCGAACGGGAUUAGAUACCCCGGUAGUCCACACCCUAAACGAUGUGUGCUAGGUCGAGGAAGUUUUGACGCCAUCUCGGCCGCAACGAAAGCAUUAAGCACACCGCCUGGGGAGUACGGUCGCAAGACUAAAACUCAAAGGAAUUGACGGGGGCUCACACAAGCGGUGGAGCAUGUGGCUUAAUUCGAAGCAACGCGAAGAACCUUAUCCAGGGCUUGACAUGUACGGAUUAGCUUCCCGAAAAGGAAGUGACGCGCUUGCGUGGAACGUACACAAAUACUGCAUGGCUGUCGUCAGCUCAUGCUAUAAAGUAUCGGGUUAAGUCCCUUAACGAACAAAACCCCUGCCGUUAGUUGCUAACAAAUUAUACUGAGGACUCUAACGGGACUGCCGGUGUCAAACCGGAGGAAGGUGGGGACGACGUCAAGUCAUCAUGGCCUUUAUGCCCUGGGCUGCACACAUACUACAAUGGUACGGACAAAACGAAGCGAUACCGUAAGGUGGAGCAAAUCGUAAAAACCGUGCCCCAGUUCAAAUUGUGGUCUGCAACUCGACCACAUGAAGGUGGAAUCGCUAGUAAUCGCGGAUCAGCAAUGCCGCGGUGAAUGUGUUCCUGAGCCUUGUACACACCGCCCAUCACGUCAUGGAAGCCGGGAGCACCCGGAGUCGCCACGAUUCAGUAAUACCGACAAUGAGCUCAAUGACUGGGACGAAGUCGUAACAAGGUAGCCGU
rnacentral:rRNA from 1 species